rnacentral:hammerhead_ribozyme from 1 species
GCAUUACUGAGGAGUCCCACAAUAGGAUGAAACAGCCGUCCAGUGU